rnacentral:rRNA from 1 species
UCUUCCUACGGGAGGCAGCAGUGAGGAAUAUUGGUCAAUGGGCGAUGGCCUGAACCAGCCAAGUAGCGUGAAGGAUGACUGCCCUAUGGGUUGUAAACUUCUUUUAUAAAGGAAUAAAGUCGGGUAUGCAUACCCGUUUGCAUGUACUUUAUGAAUAAGGAUCGGCUAACUCCGUGCCAGCAGCCGCGGUAAUACGGAGGAUCCGAGCGUUAUCCGGAUUUAUUGGGUUUAAAGGGAGCGUAGAUGGAUGUUUAAGUCAGUUGUGAAAGUUUGCGGCUCAACCGUAAAAUUGCAGUUGAUACUGG